rnacentral:lncRNA from 1 species
CCGUCACAGCCUCCACGCCGUCGUCGCCGCCCCCCGGACUCCACCGCAUCCACGCCGGCGUCGCCGCAGCGGGAGAAGGAGGUCUCCGCGCGACGGAUUCCGGAGACGCCGCGGUCUUCUCCCUCCCGCGUGGUCCCUCCAUCACCACCGAUUGACCGCCUCCACGAUGCCGCCUCCACAGGAGCAGGGGAACGCCACGGCCUUCUCCCUCUCCCGCGCGGUCCUCCCCAUCAACGCCGUUUCACCGGCUCCACCGGUCGCUGUCCAGGCCGCCGCCACCUCAGCCGUUUCAACAAAUCGCCAUACCCUGUGCCUCCUCUCUCUAUCCAUCAGUUGCCUGCCGACGAUCUUCUGCCGACGAAGUGCUGCUGUCCGCCGCGAUCUUUUGCAUACGCCACGCCACGUUUGGCCUUCUCAGAUGAUCGCUGGGAAGGCCUCACGGCCCUUCCCCCUGAUCGACUGCUUGAUCUACCUCGACACGAUGGUCUACAGCAAGGCUGCAGUGCGGUCAUGAGGUCCACCUUGGUGAGCAGCUUUCUAGACCUCUUUGCAAUUUUGUUUGGUCUUUGUUUAUUCCUUGCAAAUUGUAGGCUGACAUCGCCAUCAUCUGAUUGUUUAUCAGACCUGAUCGUUUAGUUUAGUUUUU